AAGCUGUAAGGAUCAGGCCAACCAGUCACAAGUCAUCAUCUCCACAGCUCGUCAGAAGAUCACUUGCACACACUUCACCACCACCACAUGCUUUAGUGGAGGGGGAAAUGAUGGAACAUGAGAAAGCACACCGCUCCUCAGAGCUUCCUCUUAAUGGCGGCCGUAGGGCGGGCCUUCAACUGAAGCAGCUCUGUGAUUGGUCGCCCGCUGCCCUGGUAGAAGUCCAAUCCAGUGAUCCACUCCACAUCUCGGACCCGUGAUUGGUGGAACCACAUGAGGUCUUCAACCCAAUGAGAUUCACUCUCUGCGCUCUGUGAACCGACAUUAUUCAUCCUGAAGGGUUUUGUGGAAAUGCACAAGGCAAGCAAUCAAACUAGUUUAAACCUUCCUUCAACGGGUUGAGCUGAGGAAUAACUAAUAACUAACCAGUCUUUCACCCGGUUGAGCUGAGGAAUAACUAAUAACUAACCAGUCCUUCACCCGGUUGAGCUGAGGAAUAACUAAUAACUAACCAGUCCUUCACCCGGUUGAGCUGAGGAAUAACUAAUAACUAACCAGUCCUUCACCCGGUUGAGCUGAGGAAUAACUAAUAACUAACCAGUCCUUCACCUGGUUGAACUGAGGAAUAACUAAUAACUAACCAGUCCUUCACCUGGUUGAGCUGAGGAAUAACUAAUAACUAACCAGUCCUUCACCUGGUUGAGCUGAGGAAUAACUAAUAACUAACCAGUCCUUCACCUGGUUGAACUGAGGAAUAACUUCACCUGGAAACCAAGAUUACCAGGAGCCUGAGUUUAGCAGGAGACUGAGUUUAGGCUGAGUUUAGCAGGAGCCUGAGUUUACCUGGCAGCUCUCGGCGUUGUCGCGGCGAUGCGGCAGCAGGAAGCAGACGGUGCUCAGGCUCCCGGAGCAGGCGGCCGGCGUCUGGGCCGCGUCGGAGCAGCUGGUCAGAACCGCAAAGUAGUGCGUGGGGACGGGGACGGAGGAGCCGGGGACGAACCUGUGGAGCGCACGGAGACACCAGGAGACCACGCCCGUCAGAGUGGGUCCACGGAGCGCCACAGACAACCUAGCAACAGCGGCGUUGUACUCAUGGAAACGUACUCCUGGAUCUGGUCCUGGGAGUCAAAGCGCCCGUCGUAGUUGUAGUCAAAGGCGGGUCCGGUGACCACGUUGAUGCCCCCGUACUGCUGAGAGUACUUCUUCAGCAGAGUACCCUGGAAGUAAUCCCAGAUCUCUGGGAAGGGGGAGAGAUACAGACAACAUGAAGCACCGCACUCAUUCAUUCAAGGAGAUGUAAAACCUCGCCUUCCACCAAACACAUGGGGUCUACUCAACUGAGACAGACGGGAGAGAGACAGAGACAGGUGACAGGGACACGGGAGAGAGACAGGAGAGAGAGACAGGAGAGAGAGACAGGGGAGGGAGAGACAGGGGAGAGAGAGACAUACUUUUGAAGGCGGGGAACAUGGGCACCACGUUACUCAUCAACAGGCCAUCAAACUGCUCAUCCGCUGUGGUGUUCAGACCUGUUUCACAGACACACACACACACACACACACACACACACACACACACACACACACACACACACACACACACACACACACACACACACACACA